rnacentral:rRNA from 1 species
AUGGAGUGCCUCAAUUGUUUCCACACUAGGGAUUUGUGCGUUGGGAAUGUUGAAUUGGGGAACGGUUGCUUCUACUUGACGCUUUUGGAGGGCUUCAAAUGGAUGGUGUGCAUCCCCUGUUUUGCAAGGCCUGACCUCCUAAGGAAGCUUAAUGUUGCCAUGGAUAAGGGAACAAGCACCACUGCCUACCUGCGCACCAAAGAGGGCUUCUCUUUCAAGACUACGAUCCUUAACGAAAAAGAGCGAACAUAUUUUGGUUCUUCUAAUUGGGGGGCAUUUGCCAAAGCUUACAAAUUUGAGGAAGGGAUGGCUAUCCACUUUGAUUUUAGCAAAUAUUCUGAUCCUGAUCCUGACAUCUUGGUAGAUUUGGAAAACAUUCCAAUCCUUCCUCCGUAUUACUUCCUAGCGCCAAAAACAACCCAGGAGAUAGUUGACAACAUUUACUAUACUGCUGACAGCGCGCUUACUUGGAAAGAGAAGAAUUACCUCGUUUCCUUUGUUAAUGGUAUCGAGUGGCCUACGAACACUCACAAUGCUGGGAAACAUUAUGCAUCAUACGUGCCACUAGUGCAUGCCUUGAACAAGACCAACAUUCAAAACAAAUGUCUGAAGCUCCCAAGAUGUGUUGUUCCUGAUAUUAUGGAUGGCAAUGGUGAGAUGACACUUAUCUAUGAUGACAAGACCAAUUUCAAAGACACCUACUCGACUGCAGCCCUACCAGAUGGACGCCUCCUAGUUAAUGGGUGGAGGAGAAUACUGAAGGAGUGCAACCUGGAAAUUGGAGCUAGGUUGAUCUCUGUGCUCCACCAUGGAAGUGCGGGGAUUUUCCUAUUCUUGACAUCCAUUCCAAAAAGAGAGGACUAG